GACGUAGGGUCCAAGCGUUGUCCGGAUUUACUGGGCGUAAAGAGCUCGUAGGCGGUUUGUCGCGUCUGCUGUGAAAACUCGGGGCUUAACUCCGGGCCUGCAGUGGGUACGGGCAGACUAGAGUGCGGUAGGGGAGACUGGAAUUCCUGGUGUAGCGGUGAAAUGCGCAGAUAUCAGGAGGAACACCGGUGGCGAAGGCGGGUCUCUGGGCCGUAACUGACGCUGAGGAGCGCAAGCGUGGGGAGCGAACAGG
rnacentral:rRNA from 1 species